rnacentral:rRNA from 1 species
GUGGGGAAUCUUGCGCAAUGGGCGAAAGCCUGACGCAGCCAUGCCGCGUGAAUGAUGAAGGUCUUAGGAUUGUAAAAUUCUUUCACCGGGGACGAUAAUGACGGUACCCGGAGAAGAAGCCCCGGCUAACUUCGUGCCAGCAGCCGCGGUAAUACGAAGGGGGCUAGCGUUGCUCGGAAUUACUGGGCGUAAAGGGCGCGUAGGCGGAUCGUUAAGUCAGUGGUGAAAUCCCAGAGCUCAACUCUGGAACUGCCCUUGAUACUGGCGAUCUUGAGUGUGAGAGAGGUAUGUGGAACUCCGAGUGUAGAGGUGAAAUUCGUAGAUAUUCGGAAGAACACCAGUGGCGAAGGCGACAUACUGGCUCAUUACUGACGCUGAGGCGCGAAAGCGUGGGGAGCAAACAGGAUUAGAUACCCCAGUAGUCC